ACGGACACACACGGACACACACGGACAUCCACAGACGUCCUGUGUGUGCUGACGGACACCCACAGACGUCCUGUGUGUUCUGACGGACACCCACGGACGUCCUGUGUGUACUGAACAGACAGCCCACGUGGGCCAAAAUCACCCGAACAGUCCACAGGAAGGGCCAGCAUGCUAAGUUCAAGUACCAACUUGCUGAUAUUGUACUGAUGGACAGC
rnacentral:lncRNA from 1 species